rnacentral:tRNA from 1 species
UGCUGACUUAGCUCAGUUGGCAGAGCACCUCACUAGUAAUGAGGAGGUCGGAGGUUCGAACCCUCUAGUCAGCAUUAG